AUUUAAGCAAGGGUAUACGGUGGAUGCCUCGACUUAGAAAGCCGAAGAAGGACGUAGCAGCCUGCGAAAAGCCUCGGGGAGGUGGCAAGCAACCUUUGAUCCGUGGAUGUCCGAAUGGGGAAACCUAUCGUUCAUGAAUAAUGAGCGAUGUCCAUUGCCUAGCAAUGGAUGGGAACCUGGGGAAUUGAAACAUCUUAGUACCCAGAGGAAAAGAAAUCGAAUGAGAUUCCCUUAGUAGUGGCGAACGAACGGGGAACAGUCCAAAUUUCGAAGAUGUGAUUAUUUGGUGACCCUUCACCUUUUUUUACACGGUUAGCCAAGCUGUGCCGGAAAGGGUGAGGGGAAGCUAAAUAAGAAACAGGUGCAAGCCUAAUGCAUCUUUGGAACGUAAUGAGGGAGUAACGUCUUUUUCUUGCAUUAAAAAGAGUAAGGUCAAAGAGAUUUAGUGACUGGAAAUUGACCCCGCACUAUUUAUAGUACGGGGGCAGUGACCAGGAACUUAGUCUUGAUGUUUAGUAAAAUCCCGUGGAAAAGGGAGCCAUAGAAGGUGACAGCCCUGUAUGCAAAAAACAUCUAGCCUUAUCGUUAUUUUUCUCGAGUAACAUGGGACCCGUGAAAUCCUGUGUGAAGGUAUCCUGACUAUAGGAUAAGACUAAAUACUUUCUAAGAUCGAUAGUGAACCAGUACCGUGAGGGAAAGGUGAAAAGCACCCCGGAAGGGGAAUGAAAUAGUAUCUGAAACCGUAUACCUACAAUAACUCGGAGCCCAAUUUAUGCCCGCAAGGGCGUAAACGGGUGACGGGGUUCCUAUUGAAGAAUGAGCCAACGAGUUUACUCAUUAUGUAUGGUUAAGUCCGACAGGACGGAGCCGUAGCGAAAGCGAGUCUUAACCGGCGUUGACUUAUGGUAUUCCAUAAGACUAAAUAUAAUGAGUGAGACCCGAAACCGGGUGAUCUAGCCAUGGCCAGGGUGAGUCCCGGGUAAAACCGGGAGGAGGCCCGAACACACCAGCCGUGCAACACUGGGUGAUGAGCUGUGGCUAGCGGAGAAAUUCCAAUCGAACUCGGCGAUAGCUGGUUCUCCCCGAAACAGUUUUAGGACUGGCCUGAAAAUUAAAUCCGUGGGGUAGAGCACUGGAUAGAAGAGGGUGGCGCAAGCCUACCUCCUCUAAACAAACUCCGAAUACGCGGACUGCCCUGACUUCGGUCAGGUAACAAAUUUUCAGAGUUAGACUAUGGGGGCUAAGCUCCAUCAGUCAAAAGGGAAACAGCCCAGAUCUUAAUCUAAGGUCCCUAAAUGUGCAUUAAGUGUCAAAGGAAGUGAGGCGACUGCGACAACCAGGAGGUUGGCUUAGAAGCAGCCAUCCUUUAAAGAAAGCGUAAUAGCUCACUGGUCAAGUUUCUUUGCGCCGAAAAUUUAUCGGGGCUAAAUGCACUACCGAAGAUAAGGGUUCCGACGUUUACGUCGGAGCGGUAGGGGAGCGUUCUCUAUUUAGUGAAGGAGAAGACGUGAGUCUCUCUGGAAGAUAGAGAAGUGAGAAUGUUGGCAUAAGUAGCAAAAAGUCUGAUGAAAAAUCAGACCACCGAAAACUCAAGGUUUCCUGGGCCACGAUGAUCGACCCAGGGUUAGGCGACCCUAACCUCGCGCCUUCUCGAACACAGAGUGUUGAUAAUCAAGCUGAGAAUCAAUCUGUGCUGGAGAAGGUGCGGGGGAUGGAUUGCAGGUUAAUAAUCCUGCCCUUACUUAUUUGUUGUUUAUUUCUGCGCAUCUUUGGCGGUUUAAGCGUAUUCUGGUUAUAUACGUGGCUGGCGUUAGUCGGCCCGAGGUGAAGUCUUCGGAUGGAACCAAGUUAAGUUGCCGGGGUGCCUAGAAAAGGAAAUAAACGUUAACGAAUAAGUAAUCCGUACCGCAAACCAACACAGGUGAGUGGGGUGAGAAUCCUAAGGUGUACGAGACAACCUCGGUUUAGGAACUCGGCAAUUCAGCGGCCGUAACUUAGGAAUAAGGCCUGUCCGAUUUAUGUCGGACCGCAGCAAAAGAUUCCAGGCGACUGUUUAACAAAAACACAGGUCCCUGCUAAACCGCAAGGUGAAGUAUAGGGGCUGACCCCUGGCCAGUGUCCGAAGGUCAAGAGGAUGGGUGAUCCCUUCAAUGCAAAUUGAAGGAUGAGCCUUGAAUCCAAGCCCGGAUGAACGCCGGCGGUAACUAUAACCGUCCUAAGGUAGCGAAAUUCCUUGUCAGGUAAGUUCUGACCCGCACGAAUGGGGUAACGGUCUGGAAACUCUCUCAACCGAGGACUCGGCGAAAUUUCACAAGUCGUGAAGAUGCGACUUACCCGCGGCAAGACGAAAAGACCCCGUGAAGCUUUACUACAGCUUGGUAUUGAGAUACGGGUCAUUCUGUUUAGAAUAGGUGGGAGACUUUGAUUCCCCGACGCCAGUUGGGGAGGAGUCGCAAUAUGAAAUACCACCCUGAGUGUUCUGUGUUUCUAACCCCGUCAUUUGACGGGGGACAGUGUUAGGUGGGUAGUUUAUCUGGGGCGGAUGCCUCCUAAAAGGUAACGGAGGCGCUUAAAGGUUGGCUUGGUCCGGAUGGAAAUCGGACCUAAAGUGUAAAGGCAUAAGCCAGCUUUACUGCAAGAGGGACAACUCGAGCAGUCGCGAAAGCGGAACUUAAUGAACCGACCACUCUACAUAGGAAGGUGGAAGAUCAACGGAUAAAAGCUACUCCGGGGAUAACAGGCUGAUCUCCCCCAAGAGUCCACAUCGACGGGGAGGUUUGGCACCUCGAUGUCGGCUCGUCGCAUCCUGGGGCUGGAGAAGGUCCCAAGGGUUUGGCUGUUCGCCAAUUAAAGCGGCACGCGAGCUGGGUUCAGAACGUCGUAAGACAGUUCGGUCUCCUAUCUGCCGUGGGCGCAUUGAGAUUUGAGGAGGCUCUUCCCUAGUACGAGAGGACCGGGAAGGACAAACCUCUAGUGUACCAGUUGUUCCACCAGGGGCAUUGCUGGGUAGCUACGUUUGGUUAGGAUAAGCGCUGAAAGCAUCUAAGUGCGAAGCCGUCUCCAAGAUAAGAUCUCUUAAGGUCCCGAGAGACUAUCGGGUUGAUAGGCUCCAAGUGGAAGUCCGGCAACGGAUUAAGCUGUAGGAGUACUAAUCACCUCAAA
rnacentral:rRNA from 1 species